UUUAAUGAAACUCUGGAACACAACUAAAAAUUAUUUCUUUCCAAAUCUUUUCUUUACUCUCAUUUAAUGAAACUCGGGAACAUAGCGUAAAUGAAACUCUGGAAGACAAAAUGUUUUUACUUUCUUUUUUUUUUUGCUGAUGUGGCAUCUGACGUGGCAUCUGACAUGGUUUUUCGCUGACGUGGCAUCUAAUGUGUCACUUGUUCAGUGACGACGAGGCAUCUGACGUCAGCCAACUGGGUUAGGGUUUAGUUAGUUUGGGAGUGCCGGAGAAAAAUAAGUUGAAAGUUGAGAGUGUUGUGGUACAAAUCGAAAGUUGGGAGUGCUAUCGGCCAAUUGGUGAAAGUUGGGGUUAUUUCCAAUAUCCCUUGAUUUUUAACACUUUUAACAAUGCAAAUAUGUCCCAACACCAGUUAAAGUAGAAAAUAUAAUUACUAUGGAAUUUGUGACAAGUUCUAUUUCAGAGACGAUUUUCGUAUAUUAAAAAACAUUUGGACAUGUGAUAGAUAGUCAAGCCACUUACCUUAAUUCUUGUCAUACAUUGUAAUCAUCAUGGAAUGAGAAGCAUACUCGUAUUAUAGAAAGACUUACCUUAGGAACUGGUGGUGGCUUGGUAUUACAUGCUUUACACUGUGUUCCAGAGUUUACUAACAGAAGGAAAGGAAAAGAAACAAAGAGAAAGUAAAAAUAUUUUGUGUUCCCGAGUUUCAUUUAAGGAAGGAAAAGAAAGGAAAAUAAAACAUGUCGUGU
rnacentral:lncRNA from 1 species